rnacentral:rRNA from 1 species
AUGCUCAGAAAAAUGAAGAAAUGGAAGCAUGAACAUGAUGAGGUUCCUCACACAAGCCCAGCCCUUCCAUCUGCUCAAGUCCAGCAACCACAGCUACAACAAACUGUGCCCAAUAACCGCUGCUUUCUUCAUUAUCCACCGGAUCUGACGCAGCCCAAGGAAAUCACAUAUAGUUCUUGUCAACUGAAACCCAAGGUUGAGAAAAGUGAUUACUUCAAUUCUGCGUCAGCAAAAUCAAUAGGCAAAUUCUUCUCUGAAGCUGGACCUGAGCCUGGUGUUCUCCAUUCAUCAUCUUUGAGGGAGAUGGUUGUGUUUCCCCAUGGGCCUGGGGCUGUAAUGCCUACGUACGAAGCUGUUCUGCAGGAGCAACUAAGAGAAACUGAGAACCGCGCAAAGGAACUCAAGCAAGAGUGGCAAACAAGUGGCUGCACUGUAAUUGUGGAUAGUUGGAAGAGCAAGUGUGACAAAAGCUUCGUAAGUGUCCUGGUGCACUGCAGCAAAGGUACGCAGUUCCUCAGAUCCAUUGACGUCUCUGAAAUCACUGAGGACUUGGAUGAGCUAGAAUCAAUGCUUUCUCGCGUGGUUGAUGAUGUUGGUGCCCAUAACAUUGUUCAGAUUGUCAUGAAUGACGUGUCACCCCAUAUGCAGAUGGCACGGCAGUAUGUGCUAAAUAAAUAUGACAGUUUUUUCUUCGUGCUAUGUGCUGACCAUUGCAUCAACCUUCUGCUUGAGAAAAUAGCAGCGCUCGAGCAUGUCAGUGAAGUCCUAAUGAAGGCAAGGGAAAUUACAAGGUUUUUAUAUGGCUAUGCACUGCCAAUGAAACUGAAAGGAAGAUAUGUUCAGGAGGAGAUUUUGAGCAGUUCUUAUCUGAGAUUUGUGGCAGUGUUCAUCACAUUAGAGAGGUUAGUUUCUGCAAGAGUAGGUCUGGUGCAGAUGAUUAGCUCACCUGAAUGGGUUCCCUCUGGUUGGGCUUGUCUUGAUUUGUUCGAGCGUAUCCAGAGUAUAGUAAAGACAGACGAUGAAUUUUGGCAUGCUGCUGCUGAAGUCGUGAAGGUUACAAAACCACUUCUCAGUGUGUUGUAUAAACUGGAAUCUGAUAUCUGUCCGAUGGGUAUCCUGUAUGAAGCCAUGGAUAGAGCAAAAGAAGAGAUAUUUCUCAAUGUUGGAGAUGAAAGUGACUUCUAUUGGUGUAUGAUUGACAGUAUAUGGGAUGGUUACUUGCAUAGUCCUCUCCAUGCUGCUGGUCAGAUGCUAAACCCAAGGAUCUUUUACACAGCUGGAUUCCAGCCUGAUGCUGAGAUCAGCAGCGGCAUUGCGACCUGUACAAUCCAACUGGGCAAGGCUCAUUACAAUGCCAGAAAAGCGUCUGCACAGUUGGAAGUGUAUGAAAAGAAGUUGGGCUAUUUCGACACAGAUCCAGCAAUGCAGCAAAUCAUGGAAUUACCACAAGUUCAGUGGUGGUCGACGCAUGGGGCUCGCGUGCCCGACCUGCAGACCCUGGCGAGGCGGGUCCUGAGCCAGACGUGCUUCGGCGCCACCAGGUACAACAUCGACUGGAGCCUGUCGGAGAAGCUGCACGCCGAGUGGGAGGAGAUGACGCCGCCCGAGCAGGAGAGGUUCCGGCACAAGGAGUACGUCCACUACAACCGCGUCCUCGCCGGCGCCGCCCCGCUCCUGCACGGCUCCUCCGUGAGGCAGCACGACAGGGUGACCAUGGUGCUGCACGACUGGAUCAGACCGCAGAAACAGGCCGCUGGUCGCCACUGA